UGUCUGUGUUUAUGUGUGUGGUUGUGUGUGUACCACAGAGAUACACACACAACCACACACAUAAACACAGACAUA